ensembl:misc_RNA
AAUUCAGAAUCCAUUUCUAGAAGAGGUAAUAAUGAGGCCUUCAAGAGGCCUGAUAAGGACUGUCCCUCUCCCCCAGCCUACCUCUGUUGGUCCCUGUUCUGAAAUUCCCAUUCAGG